GAUGAACGCUAGCGGCGGGCCUAAUACAUGCAAGUCGAACGGGAAAGGUGGCAACACCUUGAGAGUGGCGUACGGGUGCGUAACGCGUAUACAACCUGCCUGUUACACGGGGAUAGCCUUGCGAAAGCGAGAUUAAUACCCGAUGGUACUAUUGAGCGGCAUCGCUUGGUAGUUAAAGCUGAGGCGGUAACAGAGGGGUAUGCGUCCCAUUAGCUAGUUGGUAGUGUAACGGACUACCAAGGCGACGAUGGGUAGGGGUUCUGAGAGGAUGAUCCCCCACACUGGUACUGAGAUACGGACCAGACUCCUACGGGAGGCAGCAGUAGGGAAUAUUGGGCAAUGGACGGAAGUCUGACCCAGCAACGCCGCGUGCAGGAAGAAGGUCCUCUGGAUUGGAAACUGCUUUUCUUGGGGAAGAAAACCCUUCUGCGGAAGGAAUUGACGGUACUCAAGGAAUAAGCAUCGGCUAACUCCGUG
rnacentral:rRNA from 1 species